rnacentral:rRNA from 1 species
CGUAGGUGGCAAGCGUUGUCCGGAUUUAUUGGGUUUAAAGGGUGCGUAGGCGGUUUUCUAAGUCAGCAGUGAAAUACGGCAGCUCAACUGUCGAGGUGCUGUUGAUACUGGGGAACUUGAGUACUGAUGAGGUAGGCGGAAUGGACGGUGUAGCGGUGAAAUGCUUAGAGAUCGUCCAGAACACCGAUAGCGAAGGCAGCUUACUAAGGAGUAACUGACGCUGAGGCACGAAAGUGUGGGGAUCAAACAGGAUUAGAUACCCUGGUAGUCCACACUGUAAACGAUGAUUACUCGACGUGUGCGAUACACGGCACGCGUCUUAGCAAAAGCGAUAAGUAAUCCACCUGGGGAGUACGCCGGCAACGGUG